rnacentral:rRNA from 1 species
AAUGAACGCUGGCGGCAUGCCUAACACAUGCAAGUCGAACGAAGGCUUCGGCCUUAGUGGCGCACGGGUGCGUAACGCGUGGGAAUCUGCCCUCAGGUUCGGAAUAACAGCGAGAAAUUGCUGCUAAUACCGGAUGAUAUCGCGAGAUCAAAGAUUUAUCGCCUGAGGAUGAGCCCGCGUAGGAUUAGCUAGUUGGUGUGGUAAAGGCGCACCAAGGCGACGAUCCUUAGCUGGUCUGAGAGGAUGAUCAGCCACACUGGGACUGAGACACGGCCCAGGCUCCUACGGGAGGCAGCAGUGGGGAAUAUUGGACAAUGGGCGAAAGCCUGAUCCAGCAAUGCCGCGUGAGUGAUGAAGGCCUUAGGGUUGUAAAGCUCUUUUACCCGGGAUGAUAAUGACAGUACCGGGAGAAUAAGCUCCGGCUAACUCCGUGCCAGCAGCCGCAGUAA